CACCCAGGCCACCCACGCCACCCACGCCACCGCCGAGGACCUCGGGUCUCCCCCGGAUCCUGCUCGCCCAGCCUGCGGGGGAGCCGGCCUUUGGAAUGCGCCCUGGGAAAAGGCAGGGACCUCGGGCCGCGCUGUCUGUCACCGGGGACGCCUCGCUCCCGGCGCGCCGCUCCCACGUCCCCGGCCUCCCCCGCCCGAGUGAGGAAGUCGCGCUCGCCGAGCUCGGGGGCAUUUCUGCAUUCUUUUCCAGAAGAGGACGGCCCUCCGCGGCGCCCCUCGGUCCCCGCGCUCUGCCAAGGAGCGGGGGCGGGAGCCGCGCGCCCAGCCGCGGCCCAGAUGGCGGAGCAGCCCCGAGCGGGGACAUUUUCUCAGGCUUUCAAAAAGAGCACUUUCUUUCCUGCCUAAUAUUUAGCUCCUUCAAAUGCAAAUGGAGAGGUUGCGCUCCAAGUAUUUCUACAGGUGAGCUGGAAUGCCUGUUCUGAGCGAGCCAGAGUAAGCAAGUGCGCUGUAUUACCUGACAGGCACCGAGCAGGGGUUCUGAGCACUGCACCGCGCAGAAUCACUGGAGCGGCUAGUUAAAACAAGAAUUGCUGGAUCUCAUCUCCAAUGCUCUGAUUCUGAGGUUUUGGUAGAACCUGAGAAUUUCCAUUUCUUACAAGUUACCAGAGAUGUUCAUGGCCUCUUUCCCAGACCACACUUGAAGAACCAUUGGCCUAAACAAAUCAGAGAAAUAUGCAACUUUUGUGAUUUUGAGAGAAUCCAAUAUAAGAUUUUCCUUUUAGCAGGAAUAGCUUAAAAAAAGAAAGGAAGAAAAAGAGAAAAAGCAAUUGCUAUCGAUGGAAUCAUUCACACCAGGAGUUAAGUAAGACUGAGACACUAUGCUUAAAUUUAACAUUUUUUCUAGUGGAAGUUUUUUUUUUUUUUUUUUUUUUAAGAUUGCUGGCUUGAGGUAUUUAGGAACUCAAAGCACUCAACGCAGGUAAAGUCUUCCUGAAUAAUAUGUAAGUAUUAGAAGAAGUUUAUUUGACCCUGCUAGGCUGAUGAAUGGGUCCUCAGGAAACGGUGGCGUAUUAAUAUAUUUGUUUAACUGAUAUUCAGAUACUUUGCGACCUGCUGCUCUGAAUUUUCCCUUUGGCUAUCUCAAGAAUCAUGUUCCUUUUAUCAGUCACCCUGUGCUUUGGUCUCUUCAGGAGUGGUUUUUUCCUCUGAAGCCCUUGACAGGCUCCUUCUGAUUCAUUAUUAAGACAUCUCUUCAAACCCAACUCCUCCAGUAAGCCUUCAGGACGAGAGGUAGAAAUUUUCCCAAGAGAACUUUGCUGUUCCAAAGUCAAAUCCUAAAACUCCAUUGCCUUCUUAUAACCAUUUACUGUAAUCAUACAUCAUUAUCUGCUUGGUUAUCCUCAGUCUCUGAUUACAGAGUCUUCAAUAUGUGCAUCUCCCUUGUUUUGCUUUAAAUUGAAUAUCCUAAAAGGGCAACAUUUUCAUUCUGAUUUUUUUUUUGUGUGUGUGUGUGUGUGGCGCUUAGUAUAGAGUCCCCAAGAAAUAGAUUCUCCUCGGCUUUUAAUGGAGUUGCAUUUUAAUAAACCCAUCAAAACUUCAAAAUAUCAUUAUUCAAAAGUGCAUUUCAUGCAGUUACACUACCCAACAUCCUAGCUCAGCCACAUGGGCCACUGAGGAGUGUCAUUGUUCACACUUAGACUGUGGUGGCUGACCUGGGGCAGCGCUGCCACCCAGCCUCCAGGGAGAGGCUCAGACUGUGUGUCACUAGCCUGGCCGAGGGAAAGAUCAAAUUCAAAAUCAAAAGUAUGGUUUCUAUUAAAAUGUGCAAUGCUUUUGCACCAUGACAAAGUUGGAAAACCUUAAGUUGAACUAUUGUAAGUUGGAGACCAUCUGUAGACCCAUAAAAGCAAAUGUUUUUCACUGUGAUGAUGCCUCCUUAAGGGUUGGCAUUAAACUAUUUUCUGUUUAUAUCUGCUAAAAUAAGUGGAUGGAAACACACCUGCUGAAGAACCCCUAGCUUGCCCCGGCCACUCGACUGGCACAUACAUGGGUGUAGAUGCCCGGCAAGUAGGAAACAAAUGAUAGGAGAGAUUUUUACUCGUCGUGUAUCUUUAUGUGCAUUUAGGAAAUAUAGAGCUGAUGAGAUGAUUUGCAAAUCAUUUUGUAAGUAAAUGAACACCUAUAAUUUAUCUUUUGCUUAAUGUGCAUCAUAACACGCUUGGGGAUGCCGACAUAGGAGUCAAGGGCCUCACCAGCAAAUCGCUCUGUCAUUUGGGCACUAAGGAUGGAGGGCAAAGCUUGAACAGUGUUAGCUGACUUCACUCUUUUCUCACCCACAGCAGCAGGGAGAAUGAUUCUUGCGGAUUUUUCUGGAUUACAUGUCUUGCGUCUGCUUUGGUUGAUUUAAAGCCACAUUACACAUACACACGCAGUAGGGUCAGCAUUGGCUUAGACAGGUGUUGCGAUUAUGAUAAUACUGCCGACACCCUUUAAAAUUAUAGAGAUCUCUCUGUGUGUGUGACAGACGUCUUGGAUUUGCGGGAAACGCUCUGUGGAGUGGAUUUCAUCAUCAAGGAGUCAUUUUCUUUGAGCAGCUGCUGUUUCUACCUGCACAUUGAAGUCAGCGAGGAGACAUUUAAUUGAGGGAAGGAGCAGAUCUUCUUUACCCUUGCCGUUAUCCUGUGUCACAGCUGACUGCUUUAGUGCCAAUAAAAUGUUAAGGGCUCUGGUUUUACUGGGCAAAGCCCUGGGUGGCAAAGUCAUUCCUAUUAAGUGUUAACACCACUUACUAAGAAUAUAAUUAGGAAUAAAAUAAACUGGCAUAUAAAAUUUGUAUCUUAAUCUUCCUCUGCUCUUGUUCAGGUGUUGAAAAAUGGUGUUCUUGGUCCUAAAUAAUAAGAGUUAGAGUUUUAACGGCACUGAGCUACCCUCACAGAGAGGCAAGGAGUGUUUGCACAGGUAUUUUGAGGGACCUGAGUUUUUUUGGAGGUCGACUGAAGAGUAUGUCAAGAAGUGUGUGUGUGUGUGUCUAUGUGUGUGUGUGUGCACAUGCUCGUGGAAGCGUGUACAUCGUGAGGUCAGGGGAGUGGCACAGGGGAAUCAGAUGGGAGAAAGUGGAAAUAAUAGAAUAAGUAGGGCUCGGGUGUAUUUAUUUUCUAGUUCUGAAAUAAGACCACAGUUUGGAUCCAGUAGGUCAGUUAUUUAUAAACACACCAUGCAGAGGCCAGAUAUCCAGAAAUAACAGCUUCUAGUCUCCAGAGGAAGAGGGAGAGUGAAUCAGAGCCGAGGUCUCUGCAGCAGGGGGGCCCCAUUGGAGAACAUUAUUUACCUAAUACACCCUGUUUUAUUGGUCUGCUCUCCUGAUGGUGGACCUUUGGGUUAUUUGCAUUCAUUUUUGCUAUUUUAAAUGCUGCUAUUAUAAUCAUUAUUAUAUUUGCUUCCUGGUGCAGAUUAUCCCUGGAACAUCUUCUCUCUGUGAUGCUUUAUUAAUUUGUAGCCUGUCUUGUCUAUAUUUUUUAUUAAUAAACUGAUUCCAUGUG